UACCAGCACCCCGAGUGGUCGGGACGUUUAUUGGGCCUAAAGCAUCCGUAGCCGGUUCUACAAGUCUUCCGUUAAAUCCACCUGCUUAACAGAUGGGCUGCGGAAGAUACUAUGGAGCUAGGAGGCGGGAGAGGCAAGCGGUACUCGAUGGGUAGGGGUAAAAUCCGUUGAUCCAUUGAAGACCACCAGCGGCGAAGGCGGCUUGCCAGAACGCGCUCGACGGUGAGGGAUGAAAGCUGGGGGAGCAAACCGG
rnacentral:rRNA from 1 species